rnacentral:rRNA from 1 species
CAAACCAAAGCUGGCGACCGGCGCACGGGUGAGUAACACGUAUCCAACCUGCCGAUAACUCAGGGAUAGCCUUUCGAAAGAAAGAUUAAUACCCGAUGGUAUAAUAAAACCGCAUGGUUUAAUUAUUAAAGAAUUUCGGUUAUCGAUGGGGAUGCGUUCCAUUAGGCAGUUGGUGAGGUAACGGCUCACCAAACCUUCGAUGGAUAGGGGUUCUGAGAGGAAGGUCCCCCACAUUGGAACUGAGACACGGUCCAA